UUUCAUCAUUUUUAAAAAUCACUUUUAUGGGAAUUUUUAGUCAGUAAUUAUGUUUAGUCCUCUGUAUCACUUAGUCUUGCCAAACUUUAUCUACCAACUUUGUCAUUUUUAUGAUUUAACUGCAUUUUUAUUAUUUUAUUUUCUAUCUGUAAUUAAAUUAUAUCAAAUUUGAACUAGAAAACAGAUAGCAUAUUGCCAUUUUUUUACCUGCAUUUAACAGUUUCUUUUUUACCUGUAAAAGGCUUCUAGUUGGCAUAUUCAAACUGCACUCUGAUAGAGGCAUGAAAUUUUAAUACAUCUGGUUUAUCCCAGGUAAUUUAACUUAAUUGUGAUGUAUAUUUUUACUUAUGAGAAAUAAAAUUAAGGAUGGUACUAAACAUCUCAGAUUUGAAAAAAUAGAAAGGGGCAUUAAACCAUUUAAAGUUAAUGAGACAUAGAUAAACAAUCCAAUUAUAUCUGUUAAAUCAUCCAUGUAAUGGUAUUUUUGCAAGUUGAUUUUUCCCAAAUUAAUUUUAACAAAUUUUCUCUUUGGAAAAUGUUAUUUUCAGGAGUUGGCUUUUAGCAAAUUCUUUUAAAGGAAUCAUUUUGCUUACAAUUUUUACCCACUCUAUAGAAGUAAAAACUGAGUUGCAAAGAGUUUUGGUAGCUUGUCCAAGGUAACCCAAGAAGUAAAGGGCAAAUCAGAUUUUCUUAUCUGUUUGAUUAACAUCUGUGUCCUUAAUCACUACUCUAUGUUGCUUCUCAUAUUAUUAAAAUUCUGAUUUUUAAAAAUUAAUUCAUCUCAGUUUUCACUUUAUUGUUUAGAAUUCGUGGAUUUAAAUGGCAUCAUGAAGUUAAAGAAUGUGCUGCUUCCUAGUGAGGAAUUAUUCAAAGACAACCUGAAUAUAUUCAUUAGAUGAGGAAACUGAAACACACAGAGGUUAAGAAGCUUCUUCAAGAUUGUUAAAAAGUCUUCAGGGUUUAUAUUUUAUACAACACUAUUCGACAAGAAAACCAACGCUCCCAACCACUAAUCUAUGGUGCAAAUUGGAGAGAAAAAAAAAAAGGUUAAUGUUCUGGAGAGUAGGAAGUCCAAGAUCAAGGCACCAGCAGGACCAGAGUCUGAUGAAGGCCCUUUCCUCAUAAAUGACAUCAUCUAGGUGUCCUCACAUGGCUGAAGAGCGAAAAAGGGAUGAACACCGUGUCCAGAUCUCUCAUGGUCUAAUCACCUCCUAAAGGCCCCACCUCUUAAAAACUGUUCCAUUGGAGAUUAGCUUUCAACAUGAAUUUUGGAGGUACACAGAUAUUCAAACCAUAGUACUUGCUGAGAUUUUCCUAAAAUCUGCUAAAAUAUCAUUUAAAUUUGGACUAUGUAUUGUGUUUAUUGUGUUGGUCAGUGCAUUUUUUGGGAUCUCCUUACUACUCUAUGCAUUACGGUUUUUAUUUUACUUAUGUAACAUUAAAACAUGCCCUUCAAAAUACUCUGUAGUUACAUUUUAUCUUUCUUCACCUUCUAACACAAGAACAUGGAUCUUCAAAAUCUCCACUUACAAGUUUAAACAUGU
rnacentral:lncRNA from 10 species